UCUCUCGGCGCCACAACCAGGUCGUGUUGUUAUGAUUCCUUUUGCAUUCCAAAACCUAAAAUGAUAGAGAUCGAUCACCUUUGAUGUACGAUUCACAAAGCAACACCGGAGCGGUGCAAGCAACCGACGAUGACGCCUCCGGCAGCAAAUUGUCAUGUGUGCAAAAAGGGAUACAUGAAAGAUGACUACAUUCAUUUAUUUGUGAGAAACGCCAAUUAUUAAUCGAGUUUCUUGAUGUAGAGAAGAAAUUAGAUGAAGAUGCCCCUGUAAAGAACCUGUAAAGAAACAGAUAUUAUCACUCGGAGCAGGCUUUUACGCAACAUAUUUUCAGUUGCAGGUUUGCUAUGUUUUGGAGACAUGUGGAUUGAGUGAAGGUUUGAAUUGAACUAAUCCAAAGCUAUUGCAUUUAAAUCUUGUUAAAAUCUUAUUUUGUGUUUUAACAUGCUAUGAGGACACUUUUCCCUUUUGUACCUGUUGGUGCUGCUGUGCUAAAUGCUUGCUGACUUUUAAUCUUAAUCUUUAUGAGACAGAAUAUCAUACCUUGUGCAACACGGUACAAGGAGAUUAGGAGCAAGGACUAAUCUCCUUCUUUAUCCAUGCAUAUUAUCAAUGCAAAAUACAUUUGAUUUGGGGCUUGAUUAGAGAACUCUAGGCCAUUUUUUUAUUUGCUUUAUCCUCUUGUUAAGAUGUUUACAAUUCUGUCACCUCUCUUUCUAUCUCUCAUUCUCUUGUUUACAAUUCUGAAAUCCUGUUACCGUUCAUAAAUAAUUGAUUUAUUUGGAGGUAUCAGCCACUUUUAGG